AUUGAACGCUGGCGGCAGGCCUAACACAUGCAAGUCGAGCGGUAGAGGGGAGCUUGCUUCCCUUGAGAGCGGCGGACGGGUGAGUAAUGCCUAGGAAUCUGCCUAGUAGUGGGGGAUAACGUUCGGAAACGGACGCUAAUACCGCAUACGUCCUACGGGAGAAAGUGGGGGAUCUUCGGACCUCACGCUAUUAGAUGAGCCUAGGUCGGAUUAGCUAGUUGGUGAGGUAAUGGCUCACCAAGGCUACGAUCCGUAACUGGUCUGAGAGGAUGAUCAGUCACACUGGAACUGAGACACGGUCCAGACUCCUACGGGAGGCAGCAGUGGGGAAUAUUGGACAAUGGGCGCAAGCCUGAUCCAGCCAUGCCGCGUGUGUGAAGAAGGUCUUCGGAUUGUAAAGCACUUUAAGUUGGGAGG
rnacentral:rRNA from 1 species